AUGCUCUUAAAGGUGGCAUGGCUCUAGUACUUGAGCCUCCAACUGCACUUGAUCUUCUUUUUCAGUUAGCUUGGUAACUAAUUCACCAGUCACUUCGUUAGCCACAGAAGAUGAAGGAAGACUUCCACCAGCUUGUUUGCCAUCAAGAAGAGGGUAGAUUAUUUCCUUCAAAGCUAUAUUAGUCAAUUCAAUGCAGUGACAUUGGAGGUGCACGAGUUGGAUCGCCC
rnacentral:lncRNA from 1 species